CAAUUAGUAGUGCAGGAGGGAUUCAUGUUGAGGCACCUGUCACUGGCUGAAUCUCUGUUUACAGGUUUGGCCAAAAGAACUAUGGCAACAGCGUUUAGCGGGGAGACAGAAUACGAUCAACAGCAACGUGGAUGUGCUGUUCCAGCCAACAUCUGGGGUGUUGUUAUAAAUCCUACAAAUCAGUCUGAAUGUCUGAGUGUCAUGGUUACUGAGCUAAAAGAGGAUCAUCAGCAGAGGGCUUCUAUUAAAGAGGCAGAGUGAGCCUCACCAUGCCUCCUUUGUUCGGCUGACUCAUGGAUGGGGAAUGGAACUGUUGUGUGCUGUGGAAAGUUUUCACCAUGAAAACAGAAAGACAGUCCACUCCAGGCUGCAGGAGCUGAACAAAGAGAGUCUUUAAACAUGCCAGUCCAGUCAGUGGAUAGUCCAGUACGGAGUCAAACUGAGUACAGUGGAGUAGGGAUCUACUGCUUGACAUGCAGAGACUCUGGUGUGACUGUAAGAAGCCAUGGAGACCCUUCUCCCUUCAGGGAAGGACUGGGGGAGACACUGGCUGUCCACUGUGGGGGCCAGCAGGUCUUCAGAGGUGUCACCUCCACACAAUGUGACAAACCCCUCUGGUAUGACCCUUCUUCACACCCCCUAUCCCCUUUCCUUCCACGUUCUUAGACAAAUGAGUGAAGACCCCGACCCAGGCGCUACCACAGGCAAGGACGGAGACUGCGUGGACUCCGCCAGUCACGGCUUCUCGCUCCAUCACUUCACACUUAUAUCCCCCCUGCGCUUUUCUCCGUCCCCUUCCUUUUUUCUUUUUUUCUCAGGCUUCAGGCUCUCACUGCUCAUUUUGUGACUACAGGACUUUUACCAGGGUCUCGCCCAGACAUACGCCACAUGUCACCCUGCCGUCCGUGGCCACACUGCCUGAAGGCAGAUAGUAGUCUGAAGCUUGAACUGGAGAAGCACUGUGACAGAUUCCCAACAACCCUUCCUCUGUCUUAUUCUUUAUCUCUUACUCUGUUUAUAUCCACCUUUAUCUCUCUUUAUCUCUCAUGUGUGUAUCAAACUAUCUGUAACUGUCCUCUCUUGUGCGCUUUACUGUAGAUUAAAUGGAUUAUGUCCGCUUACUUUUUCUCAAUUUUACUCCUUUAGCAUAAUGAAGGUAGAGCUAAUAUUGAGGAAUGCAAAAAAAAAAAAAAAAAAAAACCCUCAUGGACUAAUCUUGUGCUGAGUACAGCCAUGAUAAUGAUGAUGGAUUAGAAAUACAGCAGCGUAUUGGGAUUACAGUGCUAUUAACUGGCCAGGGGAGGAGGAUGAGGAGGCAGACCAGUAUCUAGCUAAUCAAUCAAAUAAUCGGGACAAGCCCUUGUCUAGUAGAAACAAUUAGACCACUUCUCCAAAAUCAAUAGCCCUGCAUUUUGUUUAGAUACCCACUGGUCACUCAUUCAAUAAAGCCUCUGUGGGUUUUGAUAAGCCUGCCAGUCGGCAAGGGCCAUUUGAGGCUCUGAGUGGGAACAAAACACAUCAAACAGGCUCCAGGAAGGCCUCAUAAAAAUUGCAAAUCGAAAACAAUAUAAUUUAAUGUGGCAAAGGUUAUUUUUCCACUUGUUCAUUAUCAAAUGUCUCAUGUGAAAGCAUUGCUAUGAAGCCGGAAAAAAUCUAUUUUGUCUCGAGUGUUUGGGGAAAACAGGAGGGACAUGUAUUAUGUCUAAAGGAAAACAAAAUAAUGAUGGAAUCAGAGGGGUUCAUAAAGUUGCUCUGAGAAAUAGUCCUGGUAGUAGAGGCGUCUCCUGUUUCUAGCACAGCUUCCAUACAUAAUUAAAGCAGGAAUUUGUAUCUGUCUGCACUCUGUGGCCUCCUGAUGAAUUAAUAUCUGGUGGAAGUCCUACACAGCCAUCAGAUUAGCUCAUUUAUUUCUGUCAGCUGCUUGCUCCAUCAGCUAUUUGUAAAUCAGAGAGGGUGGGUGGGUUGAUGGGGGGUGGGGGGGGUUGUUGAGAUUGUUGGACGUGUAUUUAUUAUCAUAAAUGGCUGUUAUGAAUUAGGUCUGAUUCAAACGUCCAGCAUACAGUGCCGCAAGUGUAAGUGCACAGUGAUGACUCUUUUUUUUUUUUUUUUUCCCUGGGAGAAAUGUUAUGUUGACGUUGUUGUGCUAGUUAUACCUUAGCAUCACAGCUGUUCUGGUUCUGCAGGCACAGAGUCUUGAAUGCGAUAUGACAACUUAAUGUUUAUCUAAACAUAAUCUACUUAGAGUUCAGUAUAGUUUUUUUUACAUUUGAUGAGGAUAUG